AGGGAAAGAAAAGGCAUCAAAUGCAAUUUCUUCCAACUACUGUACUGUGAUUGGUGAUCAACAGACAGAUAAGACAGAAAAUAUUGGUUGUUGUUUUAUUAUCACUGAUCUGAAAGUGUGUUUUCUCAUUGGCUGGUCACAAUCUAACUCAGGUCACAGUCAUGUGAGUGUGACUGUGGGGGUCAGCUUUAUGGGGAAGCAGAGAAUUUUUUCUUCCCCAUCAGCCCCUAUUGAUGGUCAUGAUCUUUCACUUAACAUGUUUUUGUACCGUAGUUCUCAGCUCUCUCAUUAAACCAAGCCUAUCCCUUCAGAGGAUCAGUGGAACACUGCUGACUUGACAAAGACAAUACUUACUCUCUGGAACCAGUUUCUCAACAUGACAACAGCCAAAAGGUUAAAAUAUGUUUAUUUAUUUUUUUUACAUAUAAGAAACCAUGUCCAUUCACACAGUAGUAUUACAUGGCAAGUCACUGAAUAGCAGUGUUCAUUUCUGUUCCCCUGAGUUGGUUGGCAUAUUAGUUUUGAGCUGAGUGAGCAUGUGACAUUGUGGCCGAAUAAAACCGCCACCCAAGACUUGACGUCUAGCACCUUUCUAAAAAAAGAGCCUUCUCAGUAGCUGCAGGGCACUGUGUGCCGGGGGGUGGGCAGAGGAGUAAAUGCCUAAUGUCUACUUUUUUAAACACAUCCGAUGAUAGUCUGAACCAUGUUCAGUUAAACAUUUAUUUUUCCAUGUCCUGCUUUUUUAAAGAGGUCAACAUGGGUCAUUUCAAGCCAAAAUGGAAUCUGGGGAAUGGAGAACAAGAACUGUGGCCUGAUGUGAUGUUGAUGUUUUGCCUUAGUGACUGUACUGUACUGUAUGUGAAUGGGAGGAAACACAUGUUGCAACAAUGAGCUUUAGGUACUGGAACCCCAGAGCAUGUGACUCUCUAUGACACUCUGGCCUGUAGCAGACUUACAUGCCAAUUCAGGGAACUGUGGCCAAAUGGUAUAUGUUGACUCCUUCAUGUUAAGAUGAAUAAUAAGAGCAAUAAAGACCUAUUCAAGCUUU